CACACAACCAGAAGGCCAGCUUUCUAGAAGCUCAGCUCCACAUCAACCAGCCUGAUACGAGCAAAGUGUAUGGCCAAAAUUCACGCCAGAAGCCCACCUUUCCAGAAGGCAAGCUGCACUCCAUCGUGAUUCUAGAAAACUGCACACCCAAGACUCAAACCAGGUCCCUGUGGAUCCAGAGAUCUGCCUUCAGACAGUCAAAGGGCCCUCAGAACCCAGACUAGUG